rnacentral:misc_RNA from 1 species
AUAAAGGCAUUUCAAUGUUGUUGUGGAAGCGAAUCUUGCCGAGAUGUGAAAACAAAAAGGCGCAGGAAUUCAAUCACACGCAGAUGAGGUGACCAGUAGAGAAAUGAAUACACAUCGGUGAUGGAUUUAGCAGCCUAACACCUUCAUGCAAUGAUCCAUAAUGGUGGUGGUUAGCAAAUAGAAUUGGUUAAUUAAAGAACUUAGGAGACAAUCACGUUUCGAGUUAAAAGAUUCACAGCAUUGUAGAUUGUAGAGGGAAGGGGUAGUUUUUGGGUCACGCAUCUAAUUGGGGUGGGUUGUUUUGGAGACGAAUGCGU